AUCCACGGCAGCCCAAGUGUGAAAGCAGCCCACAUAGUAAUAAGCUUCCAGACGCUGCUGUGGCUCCUGGUCUAUGGACCAACUGUACUUCAAACCAGAGAAAUUUCUUCCUUAACUGUACUGAGCUAUUGGCAAACAUGGCUCAAGAAAUUUAAAAUAAUUGAGUCUCAUUACAAAACACAGGAAACAAAAAUGUAGGCUUCCACUCAUCCUGAAAAUCAGGAAUGGAAGGAGGUAAAAACAUUCUGCUCUUGAAGUUUGGCUCUCCAACUUGACCCUCUUUGUGUGUGUGGGUGUAUAUGUGUAUUAUAUACAUAGGCAACUGAGGAAUUUCUAAGUCCACUGAUUGCUGAAUGGUUGUGGGUCAUUUCAGAAAAUCUGAGCCUAGACACAGGGGCAGGAAGGGUGGCAUGAAUACACAGAGUAAGAGCUUGUUUUUUAAACUUAGACAAGAGGUUGGCAAACUAUGGCCUCCAGGCCAAAUCUAUUGCCACCUGUGUUUGUGAAUAGAGCUUUGUUGAACACAGCUCCAUUCAUUUGCUUAUGUAUUGGCUGUGACUAUGUUUGCCCUACAAUGGCCUUGUAGUGUGUUAUAGAGACCCCAUGGCCAGAAAGCCCAAAAAUGUUUACUCUCUGGCUAUUUACAGAAAAAGUGGGCUGAUCCUUGCUUUAGACUACUGUGCAGAGUUUCUCAAGAAUUGAGAUCCUUCACAAAAGGAAUCUUAAUCAUCUUGUCUCAUUUUAAAGAUGAGGAAAUGGAUACCACAUUCUCCCAGCUAGCUUAAAUAUUUUUAAAAAGAUAUGACAAAACUGGAUGGAAUUUUUAAGAAAAAUCAUCAAUUAUUAGAUGUCCUUUGAAGAAAGCCAAACUGAUGACAGUUUGGAAAAUGAAAGGUGUGACAGUUAUAGCGAGAUUACUAGAAACUGAGCUCAACUGUUAUUCUCUAUUUCCACAUAGGGAAGGUUUUGCAAUUCUAAAUGGGUCAGAUGUUGGACUUAGGUUUCUAAGGGAGGUCAGGGCCUAGUGACCUUUAAAACAGGGUUGGGACAGCUGCUUCAAAUGACUUAGGUGUAGCUUGACAAGCUUUCAAGGCAUCACUCUAACUUGUCAUUCAUUUCCUCACCCCCAAAUAUCAGGAGGAAGGCAGGGACCCAUGGCAGGGUAGAGCAAUUUGGCAUGCUGUCCCUCGUGUGUCAAGACACACAAAGUAUUUCAUUCUCUAUACCCCUGGCCAGGCUGGAGAUCAUCUCGAGGCUAGUCAACUGCCAAACACUGGUUAGUCAUCUGGGUUGAAGGACCCCUUCAACUUUCUGAUUCUGAGAGCAGAGUGAUGGAGCUUUCAGCUUAGCCCCUUUAAAAAUAUUUUCAGUGGUAAUUGCAGGUGUAGAUUCACUACCUUUUUGAUUUGAGAACAGGAAAAAUGACAACAUUUCAAUUCUUCACGGUACAUGUCAUAGCCUAAUAUAGUUGUUGCUAAUUGAAGUCAGCUACACAAUUGUUGGGUAGAUUUUUUUUUUUAAAGGAAGUUCUUUCUUCGGGAUGCUCUAAGCUCUAGCAGACUCACCUCUCUCUAGGCUACAUAGAGAAUGCAUGGGUUAAUAUGAGCUCUGAAGAGGUAAGAGCUAUAUAUUAUUUAAUUCCUGUAUCUCAAGACCUAGAAGAGCUUUGCAACAUUUUGAGUGGGAUAAACAUGUAUGUCUUUUGCAGGGUUGGGGGCCUAGCAGAUAUGCAUUCCAUCUUCACAGUGAGCUACGUAGUAUGGACAGUGAAGUGGCAUAUGACAAGGAGAGGCUCUGAGAUACUGUGAUUCUGAGUCCAAGGCACUCCUGCUCUUCCAUCUGCAUGUCAAGGUCAUCCUAGUCUAGGUCCACUGACAGGUAGAUAUUGCUUAAUCAGGACGUAUCUGUCUGUUCACACUCAUGUCCUGAGAAUAACCCUGGAAUUUAUAUUGAGCCUUUCAUCUUUGAAUCAGUGCUCUCAUCUUUAUGACUCACUUGUGAGGUAUGAGACAGUUGUUUUAAUUACCUUUUUUCCCCAGGUAGAGGGAGAAAGUGAUGGAGAGAUAGGUUCGAGGACCUUCUCAGGAACUCUGAAGGAGUCAGGACCCAGGUGGGACUGGAGCUGGACAUUUUGUAACCCAAUAUUAAAGUGACAUUUAUUUUCUUUUUCCCAGGGCAACAUUGGGUAAAUGCAGCAUGUUUUUAUUUCCUUAGGACAGAGGUGCUUGCAGUGCUUCUCUUUUUUCCUAGCUUGUUUCAAAUAUGUUUAGAUUCAGAAAGAUGUGAAUCAAAGAAAUUGCAAAGCCUAUAUUUUCUAAAGUCUCUUCUAAAGUACUUCUAAGGCGUUUGGCCCAACUGCUGGAUUUAAUUUGAAGCUUAGAAGAUAAUCAUCAUCCUCACUCUUCCCCCUCAGCCUGGUUUUUCUUCCCAGCUGAUUUUUCCUUCAAGUAACUAUUAAAAUGUCUUUGUUACAACUUACAGGCUUAUGACGCCUGGUGAUUCCAAGCCAAAUCCAAGGCUUUAGGCAGAUUACCUUCCCUCUGAUCAUCACAGAGGCCUUAAAGAUGGACUCAGCAGUGAUGGUUGAAAACUCAAGACUUUAUAAUUACUUGGAGGACAAUGCAGAAUGGCAAUACAAUGGAAAAACUGGUCUCUAAACAACAAGACCUAUGGCGGUUGUACAGAGUGGGUGGAAUAAUCUAUAUUAGGUGAACGAAUAAUAGCAGCUUCCUGACCUGUCUCAUUAGCAUUUAUCAAGCUGUUAAUGGUCUCAGAACCCUUGGCAGUUAAUCCAUAAACCAUUCUUUGUCGUUAAAUAUUCUGAUCUGAGUUUUGCAGAAGAGACGUACCCAGGAGCUUUAUGACUGGACUCAAUGGACAAGACAGGAACCCACAGUUGACCUGGGUGGUCAGGAAAAGCCUGUUCCCUCAGGCAAGGGGCAUACAUUACUGCUGUUCCUCAGACUUUACUCUUUCAGACUACAAAUUAAAACAUAAUAAAAUUUAUUUUUACUUAUAUUUAAUGGAAACUAAAAGUGCAAUUAAUUUAAAUCAGAAUUAAUCCUUGCCUUUGGCCAGCCUUAUUUGGGAAGACCAAGCAGAAUGUCACUUACACUAGGUGACCAGGGGUAGAAGGUCUUUUCACCAUUCCCCUUUCACCUCACAGUUCUUAUGAUUCCUUUGACAUGUGAAUGCACUGGAUUGGGGUAGAAUCAGAAUCAAAAUGUAUCUUGUUGAAUUGCACAGAGUGGCAGUAAGACCUUGAAAAUAUAGGACACAACUUGCCAGAGCCAGAAAAUCUUGUCUAAUAGGGGUGGUUUCCUUCUUGUUGGCCAUUGUGCCAUGUUGUAGCUGUGAACUGUGGUAAAUGUUAUUUGAAGAUGAAGUCAAGUAUUUUCACCCUUGGCUCUUUCCC
rnacentral:lncRNA from 1 species